AGGACGAACGCUGGCGGCGCGCCUAACACAUGCAAGUCGAACGAGCGAGAGAGAGCUUGCUUUCUCGAGCGAGUGGCGGACGGGUGAGUAACGCGUGGGUAACCUGCCUUAUACAGGGGGAUAACAGUUGGAAACGACUGCUAAUACCGCAUAAGCGCACGGUAUCGCAUGAUACAGUGUGAAAAACUCCGGUGGUAUAAGAUGGACCCGCGUCUGAUUAGCUUGUUGGUGAGGUAACGGCCCACCAAGGCGACGAUCAGUAGCCGGCCUGAGAGGGUGAACGGCCACAUUGGGACUGAGACACGGCCCAAACUCCUACGGGAGGCAGCAGUGGGGAAUAUUGCACAAUGGGGGAAACCCUGAUGCAGCAACGCCGCGUGAGUGAAGAAGUAUUUCGGUAUGUAAAGCUCUAUCAGCAGGGAAGAAAAUGACGGUACCUGACUAAGAAGCACCGGCUAAAUACGUG
rnacentral:rRNA from 1 species